GGAUCAUCUCCAUACCUAUUUCCAAACCCGACCCUCAAAUCCGAAUGGCAUCCACACAAGGAAGAGAUCGAAGCAGAAGAACACAACUGUGUUCAUCGGAAUCCGAAGAAUUCCGGCAAGCUCAGGCAGCGAUGCGACCUUCUAAGGCCAUGUUUUCCUGCAAGUGGCUGCAGCUGAAGCCGAUGAGGCUUCCCGGUGACUCUCGUCUCCUUCCUGACGACCUGUUGAGCAUCAAGAGGCCAAGGCGAACGUGUGUGGAGAUUUGAGGUGUUGCUGCUGCUGUGUCGAGCAAAACCCGAACCCAGAUUCCGACGAGAAGCUGCUGCCGGCAAGGAGGAGCUGCUGGACUCACAAUUUGGGGGUAGACUGAAGGUAAUCUUCGUGUUUUAGCUGCUGUGAAGUUUUGUGUUGUUGUUGUUGUGUUUUGUUGGUUGUUGAGGUGUUGAUCCGGUUGUUUUGGUUGUUGUUGUCGAGAAUUGGGUGUUUUUGAGAAUUCAGGGAGACUGACGAAAUUCCGGCAAGUUGCCGGAAUCCGGCAAGGGAUGGGAUUCCGACAAAGGUAGUUUUUCGGCAGGAGCCCGUGAGCUUGCAGGAUCGCAUAGUUGAGGUCAGACGUACAUGAAGUUGAGGCAUAGUCCAUAAUAUGGCUUCCGCGUAUUUGUAUAUUCUGUUAGAGUUGCUUUGAACCUAGGAAUUGU